rnacentral:rRNA from 1 species
AGUGAACGCUGGCGGUAGGCCUAACACAUGCAAGUCGAACGGCAGCACAGUAAGAGCUUGCUCUUACGGGUGGCGAGUGGCGGACGGGUGAGGAAUACAUCGGAAUCUACUUUUUCGUGGGGGAUAACGUAGGGAAACUUACGCUAAUACCGCAUACGACCUACGGGUGAAAGCAGGGGAUCUUCUGACCUUGCGCGAUUGAAUGAGCCGAUGUCGGAUUAGCUAGUUGGCGGGGUAAAGGCCCACCAAGGCGACGAUCGGUAGCUGGUCUGAGAGGAUGAUCAGCCACACUGGAACUGAGACACGGUCCAGACUCCUACGGGAGGCAGCAGUGGGGAAUAUUGGACAAUGGGCGCAAGCCUGAUCCAGCCAUACCGCGUGGGUGAAGAAGGCCUUCGGGUUGUAAAGCCCUUUUGCUGGGAAAGAAAAGCAGCAGGUUAAUACCCAGCUGUUCUGACGGUACCCAAAGAAUAAGCACCGGCUAACUUCGUG